AGAGUUUGAUCAUGGCUCAGAACGAACGCUGGCGGCGCGUUUUAAGCAUGCAAGUCGAGCGGCAAGGGUAGCAAUACCCCUAGAGCGGCGGACGGGUGAGUAACACGUGGACAACCUGCCCUUUAGGUGAGGGAUAGCCCAGGGAAACCUGGAUUAAUACCUUAUAAGACCACUGAUAGGAGUAUGAGUGGGGAAAGGUGCUACGGCGCCGCCUGAGGAUGGAUCUGCGUCCCAUUAGCUAGAUGGUAGGGUAAAGGCCUACCAUGGCGACGAUGGGUAGCCGGCCUGAGAGGGUGAACGGCCACACUGGAACUGAGAGACGGUCCAGACUCCUACGGGAGGCAGCAGCUAAGAAUCUUCCGCAAUGGGCGCAAGCCUGACGGAGCGACGCCGCGUGAACGAUGAAGGCCGCAAGGUUGUAAAGUUCUUUUCGGGAAGGAGAAUAAGGGGAGCAGGCAAUGGCUUUCCGAUGCCGUGAAUCCCGGAAUAAGCCCCGGCUAACUACGUGCCAGCAGCCGCGGUAAUACGUAGGGGGCGAGCGUUGUCCGGAAUGACUGGGCGUAAAGGGCGUGUAGGCGGCAAGGCAAGUCAGAUGUGAAAUACACGGGCUCAACUCGUGGGCUGCAUUUGAAACUGUUUUGCUUGAGUGAGGUAGAGGUAGGCGGAAUUCCCGGUGUAGCGGUGAAAUGCGUAGAGAUCGGGAGGAACACCAGUGGCGAAGGCGGCCUACUGGGCCUUAACUGACGCUGAGGCGCGAAAGCGUGGGGAGCAAACAGGAUUAGAUACCCUGGUAGUCCACGCCGUAAACGAUGAGUGCUAAGUGUUGGGGGUCGAACCUCAGUGCUGAAGUUAACGCAUUAAGCACUCCGCCUGGGGAGUACGGUCGCAAGACUGAAACUCAAAGGAAUUGACGG
rnacentral:rRNA from 1 species